UCUCUCUGUCCCAGCACCUGCCUCAUUUCUGCCCAGCCAGUGGCAUUAAACAUUUAUGGAGCUGUGGAGGAUCAAAGGCCUUGGCUGGGGGUGGGCAGGCUGGAGGCCUUGGUUUAGAGAUGGAAAGCAGCUCGCAUCAAACCACUUUAUGCUGCUGUCUCCAUCCACCCUGGGCUCUUGCUACCAGUUGGUGUGGUCCUGCUCCUGGAGUGGGAGGAAAUGCCCAGGAACCAGGACUCCCCAUUUACCAGGGUAGGAUUCUCCUUCUACCCCUAAAUUCAAAGAAUUGACUUUGGAUACUCCUUGAAGCCUGGCCAGAGCAUGGUAUCCCACAAUGUUCAAGAUCCUGCCAGGUCUGGGAGCCCCCUCCGAGGAGUGGGUGGAGGCGAGCAGGCAGGUCUGUGCCCCUGGGAAUCUCUGCAGCCUCUUGCCCCUGUUUCUCUGAAGCCCCCAAACCCCCUUGGCUCCACAGAAGACGUUCCUCUGCCUUGAAAGCUAUCUUGGAGGAGACUAAUUUUCUUCUCCUCUCACUCAGAAAGCAAGUGUCAUCCAUUUGAAGGGAGAGACUUCAGAAUAAGUCACCAGUGUGCCUGUGAUCCUGCAAAUUGAUGGGCUGUGUGGAAGUGGGGAAGUGAAGCUGGCUUCUCCGG
rnacentral:lncRNA from 1 species